UACGGAGGGGGCUAGCGUUGUUCGGAAUUACUGGGCGUAAAGCGCACGUAGGCGGCUUUGUAAGUUAGAGGUGAAAGCCCGGGGCUCAACUCCGGAAUUGCCUUUAAGACUGCAUCGCUAGAAUUGUGGAGAGGUAAGUGGAAUUCCGAGUGUAGAGGUGAAAUGCGUAGAUAUCGGGAGGAACACCUGUGGCGAAAGCGGCGCACUGGACCACAACUGACGCUGGAGGCGCGAAAGCUAGGGGAGCAAACAGGG
rnacentral:rRNA from 1 species